GAUUUAUUUACUAUAAUAAAGAAGAGAUACGCUCAAAUUUUCAACAUUUGAGAGUCGAACCAUUACAACUCAUUUACAGAGCAGACAAAUGUCAGCAAUGUACACCCAUGUAUUCCCCCAACCCUGGUUAGACAACAGGCCUAUUCAUUGCCAUACAAGACGGCUAUCCACAAAGCUAUAUGACUUCAUAACCCUAUUUCUACCACCCAUAUUAUCCAUUUCUUAAUAAGGGUCAUCACUAUUAUGCUACAGACAAACCUACAUCCUACCAACGAAAAUAAAGUAAAAUACAAGAUUCAGAAACUGGGGCUUGCUUGUGCCAAACUCUACACAUCAGCCCUGUAGAAAUGCAACAAUUUCAGCGGCAACACCUUUUCCUGAACAGGUUCCACUGAUUGGGAAGGAAAAUGAAAACCCGUUGAACAAUUUUGCAGUACUUCAGGACUUUUCAUCCAUGCUCUGCAUCCAUCACUCACUUUAAUCUUAUAUCUGAACAUCUGAAAUAAGAAUGAAAAGCAUGGCUAAAAAAUGAAAUUUUAACCAACAAAUACAAAUUUUGCUCUUUUUCCUUUUUAUCCUAGAGACCUUCCUACUAUAAUUAAAACCUAUUUAAGUGCAUGCCCAGCAAAAACCAUGAAGUUAGAAAACAAUUUAUUUUAGCUUUGCAUAUCCCUUUGCAAAUAUAACAAACAUAUACACAGGAAGUUGAUUGUUUAAUUUGGGAAUUUCCUUUUGGCUAAUUGCCAGUGCCACAGCUUUUUUUUACUAUGGACACAAACUCUCUACUUAAUUAGACAAGUUUAGAAUAAAUUACCGCUGUCUAUUUAUUCUAUCUUUCUAAAAUUAAAAUAUUAGAUAGACAUGCUAUCUGUCAUCUCUCUCUCCCACUUUGGCACCUUCUCUCCUAAAAAUUGAGCUCUUAUGCCCAGAAAACAAAGGUUUGGCUUCAAAACCAAUUACUCAUGCAAUAUCCUUUUCUCCCAUAAAGAUGAUAUUGAAAUCAUUUACAGAUUUCUCAUCCGAAGAACCUCUCUUUGAACUGGUAGGCUAAUAGCUAUAAACUCCCACUUGAUAAGGCUUGAAUUUACCCUAACACCUCAAGAGAACCCAAGCACCUUCCUUGCCAGAUGCCACAGUGUCUGGAGGCAAGGUUGAUCUCACUUUGAACCAGAUGAAACAUUACCUAAUAAAGUCAACCACAGAAAUCCAUUCCAAAUGAUAUCGUUUUCAAAGAAUCCCAUGAAGUUUAGAUAUGAUGUUUGUAUUGAAGUGAUUUAGUUGGGCUUUGUUUUUAUGGCAUGGGAUUUACUAAUAUCAGUAUUGCUGUUGUUGUAUCGGUCUUAUAGGUUAAAAGAGAAAAUGAAGAUAGUGGUUCAAGGUUAGUAAUAGAGUAAUGGGUAACAACAAAAGUAUUAUGAUUGUUCGACAAUGAAGAAAGACAGAAAGGGCCAGACAUAUUAGUUUCUGAUCUGGGUGAAGGUUGAAGUAUAUGCCGGAAGGGAUGGGUUUCAAGGAAGAAGACUAUAAUCAGUAACUUGAUGAGGACAAUUUUGUAACUUAUUAUUUUAGGCUGUGGCAUUAGUCUUUUUAACUGUGGCAAUGAGGCUCCCUUUUCUUUUUUCAAAAAUUUCCAUCUGUUUAUGGAAUACCCAACGCAAGGAAAUGACCACCAAUAUUAAUGGAACCACAUCAAUAAGAGACAGAACGCAAACCUCCGAAAGAGGGAUUGUUGGCAUCUCCAGCUCAUCUUCCUCAAUCUUCACCCCAGUGCCCUGGCACUCUGGGCAGAAAACAGAAUCAAUUUGGCUUUUUAAUGCUUUCACCUUUCCGUCCUUGCCCACUUUGUUGGAUUUAGCUCCAUUCUUUCUUUUAGAUCUUCUUCUUGCUUUUGGACCAACUGAUUGAUUUCGAGCUGUUUCAUACUCACAGAGAAGCAUCCAAUGUAUGAUACAGGAAGUAUGAAAAACAUGAAAUGCCUACAUAUGAAAACAUUAAACAGCAUCAAACUGAGUGUAUUUCUAGCAAUCAAAUUAGCGAACAACUUUCAUGGCCCAGAUGGACUAAGAGACCAUAAUAAUAAGUAAUAAAAUGCAUGUGACAGGCAGUGCAAAGGACAAACUUGAAGAAACCAUAGGUAAUCUAGAAAUUGUUACCCCAUUCACAUUUCUGCUACUGCAAGCAAGUUUUCCUGCCUUCAUGUUUAUAAGUGUUGCUACAUCUUUCUCUGGAAGCAUCUUUUGCUGACAGAUGUCACACAUUCUUUCCGCUGCUAUGCGAUGUUGCCGUCUCAACUCUCGCCUUAUGGCCUUGUUUGAUAUAUACCUUGAAUGAAGAAGCUGGUCAUCAUAUUGAUCCAACAGCAAUCUAGAAGAGCCACCAUUUGAAGCCGAAGAUUCUUCACCAGAUGAAUAAUAGUGAUUACUCAAAGACUCACUGAUAUCCUCAGGGUCAGAAAAAGAAUUUUUCCUUUUUCUAUUAGUCCCCUCCCCAUUCUCUAACUCUAAUGUAGAACUAGAUGAGAGUAACAACUUUACAUCAUCAAGCAACCCCUUUCUUCCCAAAUCAUAAUUAUAAGCAAAAGUCAGGACAGCAAACUCAUGAUCCAAAACCUUGACCUUGUCCUCAUCAACAGGAUUAUUUUCCCCUAACCACUCACACCAUAUCCUACUAAUCUCACAUAUAUUGCCAUCCUUCUCACAGAACCUUGCAGCAAUUUGUCCAGAACCCACAAACCUGGCUUUCAAGUCAGAAAUUUCAUCCUUAACAAGUACACCUGGAAUCACUAGAUGAAAAGUUACUCCAUUUCCAUUCAAAUCCUUAUUGUAUCCAACAUGCCCAUUGCCAGUGGAUCUCAAAUUUGCAUCAUACUUCACAAUAGCUAGAUUGUCACUAUUGCUGUUAGACUCCAACAAUCUACUGUGAUUGCCACUUGUGAUAGCCAAUUGUCUCUCAUUCUCAAUUGAAUUAAUAAAGAAAUGAACACCAUCACUAAAAGGCCAUGGAUUUGGUUUCAGGAGAGUAAGCUUAGCAGCAGAUAACCUCUCAGUGUGAAGAUUACCCUUCAAGUGAUCAAACAACACAGAAUCACUGUAACAUGGUGCAAGACACAGAGUACAAAAGAAUAUGAACCGCUUCCCAUCCUCACGAAGCUCCACAUAGGGAUGUCCUUUCGAUCUCACAUUGUGAAGAGUGGUUCUAGCUAACUGCUCCUUUAAACUGCUGGAGCCCAUCUUUGGCAACCCCAACUCCCACCUCCCCGCCAUCGAGAAACUUUUCACAAAAAAUUCUCAAAUUUAAUUGAGUUGCACACUUCACUCCUUCAAAUUGCCCCAAACUUAAAUUUGCAAAUUCAAUUUUUGUUUUUUGAGAGAACGCUAUAGAACCAAAUACCCAAAUAGAAUAUUCAAAUCUCACGAUACCGUUCCUGAAACCUAAAAUUCAGAUUCCAGGAAGUCCAUUGGACCCCUUUAACAAGACUGCGUAUAUAAAGCUUUCAGGCGUCACAUGAAACCCUAAGGAGCUCAAAUUACACAACAGCCUCAUAGAAGCCCUGAAUUUCGAAAAUUAGAUCUCUAUUACCACAAAGUUUCUCCAAAUUCCAACAUGUAAAUGAAAUCGAAACUUAAAGGCACCAAAAUUCAAAAGAAAACCCUAAGAAAUCUUCAAUUCUUGGAGUUCCAGGUCCACCAGAAAAAAGAAAUGUAAAAAACCAAAGAAACAACUUGAAAAGAAACUAAACCAGAGCGUUCAGUCAAAUCUAACUUUACAUAUUCGUAUUGGAGUCUGUAUAGGAGAAUUCGGUUGAGACCGUCGAGUCCGUACAGCCACAGAAAGGGAGACGCGAGCCAUGGAAAGCAUUACAGUAUGAGAGCACGAAUCCUCCAUUGACAUCUCCAUUUCUUAGCAAGAAGAGGAGAGUUAUGAUGCUGUUUAGAUAGAAAGAGAGAUGCGAGAAACGAUGAGAAAAUAAAAUAAAACAGACAGAGAGGAGAAGAGGAGAUAAAAAGAC
rnacentral:misc_RNA from 1 species